rnacentral:rRNA from 1 species
GUUCCUACGGGGCGCAGCAGUGAGGAAUAUUGGUCAAUGGCCGGAAGGCUGAACCAGCCAAGUCGCGUGAGGGACGACUGCCCUAUGGGUUGUAAACCUCUUUUAUAAGGGGAGAAUAAAUGCUACGUGUAGCAUGAUGCCUGUACCUUAUGAAUAAGCAUCGGCUAACUCCGUGCCAGCAGCCGCGGUAAUACGGAGGAUGCGAGCGUUAUCCGGAUUUAUUGGGUUUAAAGGGUGCGUAGGCGGUUUUUUAAGUUAGGGGUUAAAAGUGGGGGUUU